rnacentral:misc_RNA from 1 species
GAUGAAGAACGCAGCGAAAUGCGAUAAGUAGUGUGAAUUGCAGAAUUCAGUGAAUCAUCGAAUCUUUGAACGCACAUUGCGCCCCUCGGUAUUCCGUGGGGCAUGCCUGUUCGAGCGUCAUUUACCCCUCAAGCACUGCUUGGUGUUGGGCGUCUGUCCCGCUUCGCGCGCGGACUCGCCCCAAAGGUAUUGUCAGCGGUCGUGCCAGCUUCUCGCGCAGCACAUUGCGCUUCUCGAGGCGGUCGAUCGGCGUCCACGAAGCUCACCUCCACCGUUUGACCUCGGAUCAGGUAGGGAUACCCGCUGAACUUAAGCAUAUCAAUAAGCGGAGGA